GACGUAGGAUGCAAGCGUUGUCCGGAAUUAUUGGGCGUAAAGAGUUCGUAGGCGGUUGCCUAAGUCUGAUGUUAAAGGCCUGAGCUCAACUCGGGUAUGGCAUUGGAAACUGGGUGGCUAGAGUGUGGUAGAGGUAUCGGGAAUUCCUGGUGUAGCGGUGAAAUGCGUAGAUAUCAGGAGGAACACCGGCGGCGAAAGCGCGAUACUGGGCCAUAACUGACGCUAAGGAACGAAAGCCAGGGGAGCAAAGGG
rnacentral:rRNA from 1 species